ncrna:unclassified sequences Cyclic di-GMP-II riboswitch
CUGUAAUUGGAGGCGUUGAACCUACCUUUCCUAUAUGGGCGCCAUGGUUGGUAGGGGAGCUAGUGGCGCAACCAGCCAACUUACUA